GAUGAACGCUGGCGGCGUGCCUAAUACAUGCAAGUCGAGCGAACGGACGAGAAGCUUGCUUCUCUGAUGUUAGCGGCGGACGGGUGAGUAACACGUGGAUAACCUACCUAUAAGACUGGGAUAACUUCGGGAAACCGGAGCUAAUACCGGAUGAUAUUUUGAACCGCAUGGUUCAAAAGUGAAAGACGGUCUUGCUGUCACUGAUAGAUGGAUCCGCGCUGCAUUAGCUAGUUGGUAAGGUAACGGCUUACCAAGGCAACGAUGCAUAGCCGACCUGAGAGGGUGAUCGGCCACACUGGAACUGAGACACGGUCCAGACUCCUACGGGAGGCAGCAGUAGGGAAUCUUCCGCAAUGGGCGAAAGCCUGACGGAGCAACGCCGCGUGAGUGCUGAAGGUCUUCGGAUCGUAAAACUCUGUUAUUAGGGAAGAACAUAUGUGUAAGUAACUGUGCACAUCUUGACGGUACCUAAUCAGAAAGCCCCGGCUAACUACGUG
rnacentral:rRNA from 1 species